rnacentral:rRNA from 1 species
UACGAAGGGGGCUAGCGUUGCUCGGAAUCACUGGGCUUAAAGGGCGCGUAGGCGGGCGAUCAAGUCAGGGGUGAAAUCCGUCGGCUUAACCGGCGAAGAGCUUUUGAUACUGGUCGUCUCGAGGGAGGUAGGGGCAUACGGAACUUCCGGUGGAGCGGUGAAAUGCGUAGAUAUCGUAAGGAAGACCAGUGGCGAAGGCGGGUCUCUGGACAGUUCCUGACGCUGAGGCACGAAGGUCAGGGGAGCAAACGGG